rnacentral:rRNA from 1 species
UACGAAGGGGGCUAGCGUUGUUCGGAAUCACUGGGCGUAAAGGCGCGUAGGCGGCUUUAUAAGUCGGGGGUGAAAGCCUGUGGCUCAACCACAGAAUUGCCCUUCGAUACUGUAGAGCUUGAGACCGGAAGAGGUUAGUGGAACUGCGAGUGUAGAGGUGAAAUUCGUAGAUAUUCGCAAGAACACCAGUGGCGAAGGCGGCUGACUGGUCCGGUUCUGACGCUGAGGCGCGAAAGCGUGGGGGAGCAAACAGG